UACGAGUGCCUCAAGCGUUAUCCGGAAUUACUGGGCGUAAAGCGCGCGUAGGCGGCUUUUCAAGUCAGGGGUGAAAUCCCACGGCUCAACCGUGGAAUUGCCUUUGAAACUGUGAAGCUAGAGUGUCGGAGGGGAUAGCGGAAUUGCUAAUGUAGAGGUGAAAUGCGUAGAUAUCCGGAGGAAUACCAAAGGCGAAGGCAGUGUCCUGGCUGGCAUCUGACGCUGAGGCGCGAAAGCUAGGGGAGCGAACAGG
rnacentral:rRNA from 1 species